rnacentral:rRNA from 1 species
GAGUUUGAUCAUGGCUCAGAUUGAACGCUGGCGGCAGGCUUAACACAUGCAAGUCGAGCGGGGGAAGGUAGCUUGCUACUGGACCUAGCGGCGGACGGGUGAGUAAUGCUUAGGAAUCUGCCUAUUAGUGGGGGACAACAUUCCGAAAGGAAUGCUAAUACCGCAUACGUCCUACGGGAGAAAGCAGGGGACCUUCGGGCCUUGCGCUAAUAGAUGAGCCUAAGUCGGAUUAGCUAGUUGGUGGGGUAAAGGCCUACCAAGGCGACGAUCUGUAGCGGGUCUGAGAGGAUGAUCCGCCACACUGGGACUGAGACACGGCCCAGACUCCUACGGGAGGCAGCAGUGGGGAAUAUUGGACAAUGGGGGGAACCCUGAUCCAGCCAUGCCGCGUGUGUGAAGAAGGCCUUAUGGUUGUAAAGCACUUUAAGCGAGGAGGAGGCUACUAGUAUUAAUACUACUGGAUAGUGGACGUUACUCGCAGAAUAAGCACCGGCUAACUCUGUGCCAGCAGCCGCGGUAAUACAGAGGGUGCGAGCGUUAAUCGGAUUUACUGGGCGUAAAGCGUGCGUAGGCGGCCAUUUAAGUCAAAUGUGAAAUCCCCGAGCUUAACUUGGGAAUUGCAUUCGAUACUGGAUGGCUAGAGUAUGGGAGAGGAUGGUAGAAUUCCAGGUGUAGCGGUGAAAUGCGUAGAGAUCUGGAGGAAUACCGAUGGCGAAGGCAGCCAUCUGGCCUAAUACUGACGCUGAGGUACGAAAGCAUGGGGA